GGAGGCGCUGCGGGGCGGGAUCCCAGGUGAUCGGCGGCGGCUACACCCACUCACCGCCCCCGGAGGGCACAGGGGGUUGCUGGGGAGAAGCGGAAAGGCACCGGGCUCCACCGAGGACAAGGACAGCAUGACACCUGGGGACAGAACGGGAGUCAUUGGGGGCAAGGCUGCCCCUCGUCAAGCGCCGGAGGACCGGCGGGGCUCGCUGACCGAGGGCGCUGCUCAUCUCUCAUUAGGGGAUGAAUCCCUGGGUUAUUACACUGGCAUUUUCGGCUAAACACUUGUUCCAAAGGAAAGAAGCAGCAUCGUAAAGAGUUACUCCCGAACUGCAGGCAAGGAACACCGUCCGAGGAGAGCCCGGUGCCGCUCUGACCCGCCGUCGCUUCCCCCCCGCCCCGUUCUCUCCCUCCGGUCUCUUUCGCCUCCGCCGCCGCAGAAGCAUAAGAACUCUUCCUUCGCCCGGAAUAACCGCAAUAAAUUUUGUCUCAGCGCUAAA